rnacentral:rRNA from 1 species
AUUGAACGCUGGCGGCAGGCCUAACACAUGCAAGUCGAGCGGAGCGGCGGACGGGGAGGGAAGGCCUAGGAAUCUGCCUGUUGGUGAGGGAUAACGUCCGGGAACGGGCGCUAAUGCAGCAUACUAUAAGGUGAGCCUAGGUCGGAUUAGCUAGUUGGUGUGGUAAAGGCCUACCAAGGCGACGAUGCGUAGCUGGUCUGAGAGGAUGAUCAGUCACACUGGAACUGAGACACGGUCCAGACUCCUACGGGAGGCAGCAGUGGGGAAUAUUGGACAAUGGGCGAAAGCCUGAUCCAGCCAUGCCGCGUGUGUGAAGAAGGUCUUCGGAUUGUAAAGCACUUUAAGUUGGGAGGCGGUACCAACAGAAUAAGCACCGGCUAACUUCGUGCCAGCAGCCGCGGUAAUUC